UACGGAGGGGCUAGCGUUGUUCGGAAUUACUGGGCGUAAAGCGCACGUAGGCGGACUGUUAAGUCGGGGUGAAAUCCUGGGCUCAACCUCAGAAUUGCCUCCGAUACUGGCAGUCUCGAGUGCGGGAGAGGUGAGUGGAAUUCCCAGUGUAGAGGUGAAAUUCGUAGAUAUUGGGAAGAACACCAGUGGCGAAGGCGGCUCACUGGCCCGUAACUGACGCUCAUGCGACGACAGCGUGGGGAUCAAACAGG
rnacentral:rRNA from 1 species